AACGAACGCUGGCGGCAGGCUUAACACAUGCAAGUCGAACGCCCCGCAAGGGGAGUGGCAGACGGAUGAGUAACGCGUGGGAAUCUACCGUACCCUACGGAAUAACGCAUGGAAACGUGUGCUAAUACCGUAUACGCCCUACGGGGGAAAGAUUUAUCGGGGUAUGAUGAGCCCGCGUUGGAUUAGCUAGUUGGUGGGGUAAAGGCCUACCAAGGCGACGAUCCAUAGCUGGUCUGAGAGGAUGAUCAGCCACAUUGGGACUGAGACACGGCCCAAACUCCUACGGGAGGCAGCAGUGGGGAAUAUUGGACAAUGGGCGCAAGCCUGAUCCAGCCAUGCCGCGUGAGUGAUGAAGGUCUUAGGAUUGUAAAGCUCUUUCACCGGUGAAGAUAAUGACGGUAGUCGGAGAAGAAGCCCCGGCUAACUUCGUGCCAGCCGCCGCCGUAACAC
rnacentral:rRNA from 1 species